GGAUUAGAUACCCUGGUAGUCCACGCCGUAAACGAUGGAUACUAGCUGUAUGUCUACUUCAGGUAGAUGUGUGGCUAAGCGAAAGUGAUAAGUAUCCCACCUGGGGAGUACGAUCGCAAGAUUGAAACUCAAAGGAAUUGACGGGGGCCCGCACAAGCGGUGGAGCAUGUGGUUUAAUUCGAUGAUACGCGAGGAACCUUACCAGGGCUUAAAUGUUAGGUGACAGAUCUAGAAAUAGAUUUUUCUUCGGACUACUUACAAGGUGCUGCAUGGUUGUCGUCAGCUCGUGUUG
rnacentral:rRNA from 1 species